AUUAAAGUUGUUGCAGUUAAAAAGCUCGUAGUUGGAUUUCUGGUAUGGUGCGCCUGGCCCACGGUUGCAAAACCGCGAGUGUCGGUGUGCGCCUGCCAUCUUUCUAGUUAACUGGACGCACUUAACUGGGCGGUCAGCGAUCUAGUUCCUUUACUUUGAAAAAAUUAGAGUGUUUAAAGCAGGCUUGCGCUAUGAAUACAUUAGCAUGGAAUAAUAAUUUAGGACUUUACGCCUAUUUUAUUGGUUUCUAGGAGUGAAGUAAUGAUUGAUAGGGAUAGUUGGGGGUGCUAGUAUUCAUCGGCUAGAGGUGAAAUUCUUGGAUUCGAUGAAGACUAACUAAUGCGAAAGCAUUCACCAAGGAUGUCUUCUUUGAUCAAGAACGAAAGUUGGGGGAUCGAAGACGAUCAGAUACCGUCGUAGUCUCAACCAUAAACUAUACCGACUAGGGAUAAGGGGAAGUUGCUUUUUCGACUUCCUUUGCACCUUAUGAGAAAUCAGAAGUCUUUGGGUUCUGGGGGGAGUAUGGUCGCAAGGCUGAAACUUAAAGGAAUUGACGGAAGGGCACCACCAGGAGUGGAGCCUGCGGCUUAAUUUGACUCAACACGGGGAAACUUACCAGGUCCGGACAUAGUGAGGAUUGACAGAUUGAAGUUCUUUCUUGAUUCUAUGGAUGGUGGUGCAUGGCCGUUCUUAGUUGGUGGAGUGAUUUGUCUGCUUAAUUGCGUUAACGAACGAGACCUCGACCUACUAAAUAGUACAGCGUAAGCUUUGCGUAUGCGUGCACUUCUUAGAGGGACUGUUGGUUCAAAGCCAAAGGAAGUUCGAGGCAAUAACAGGUCUGUGAUGCCCUUAGAUGUUCUGGGCCGCACGCGCGCUACACUGAUACGUGCAUCGAGCUUACAACCUUGGCUGGGAGGCCUGGGUAAUCUUUUCAAAGCGUAUCGUGCUGGGGAUAGAUUAUUGUAAUUAUUAAUCUUCAACGAGGAAUUCCUAGUAAGCGCGAGUCAUCAACUCGCACUGAUUACGUCCCUGCCCUUUGUACACACCGCCCGUCGCUGCUACCGAUUGAAUGCAUUAGUGAGCCUCGAGGAUCGUCUUUUCUGAGGGUAAAACUUCGGUCUAGAUGAGAAUCGCUGCAAACUUGCGCAUUUAGAGGAAGCAAAAGUCGUAACAAGGUCUCCGUAGGUGAACCUGCGGAGG
rnacentral:rRNA from 1 species